rnacentral:rRNA from 1 species
UACGAAGGGGGCUAGCGUUGUUCGGAAUCACUGGGCGUAAAGGGCGCGUAGGCGGCUUUAUAAGUCGGGGGUGAAAGCCUGUGGCUCAACCACAGAAUUGCCUUCGAUACUGUAUGGCUUGAGACGGAAGAGGUAAGUGGAACUGCGAGUGUAGAGGUGAAAUUCGUAGAUAUUCGCAAGAACACCAGUGGCGAAGGCGGCUUACUGGUC